GGGCCUUGGCUCAGUGGUGGAGCAUCUGCUUGCCAUGCAGGAAGUUCCAGGUUCAAUCCCUGGUAGUACCU
rnacentral:tRNA from 1 species